UACGGGGGGGGCAAGCGUUGUUCGGAAUUACUGGGCGUAAAGGGCUCGUAGGUGGCCAACUAAGUCAGACGUGAAAUCCCUCGGCUUAACCGGGGAACUGCGUCUGAUACUGGAUGGCUUGAGAUUGGGAGAGGGAUGCGGAAUUCCAGGUGUAGCGGUGAAAUGCGUAGAGAUCGGGAGGAACAUCAGUUGCGAAGGCGGCUCUCUGGACCAGCACUGACACUGAGGCACGAAAGCGUGGGGAGCAAACAGG
rnacentral:rRNA from 1 species